UUGGAUCCUUGUGCAGAGACUCAAAAGCCAAGAGGACACUAUCCUGCUGUUUCCCAAGUGGCCUAGGAUCCGGUCAUAAGAGCUGGUGGAGGAAGGACCUUGUUUGAGGGCAGAAAGGCUUGGGCAGCCAUCAGCCCCAGCUCCUUAGGCACAUUGCCCCCAGAAUCCCCAAGGUGACACAGGACAGCCUAGAACAGGGCCAAAAGGAAUCCAGUCCAAAGCUGGAGGAGGCUGGCAGGAUGAAGAGCCUGGAUCCAGGCACCCUGAAGAAGCUGGUUGCCCUAUCUCCAAGUCACGGACCCACGGACUCCUCAGAGGCUCUUGGGGAUGCCCUGCACCAUUUCACACCCUGAAGAAAAUGAGUACCCAGGAGACUUUGGCCAGUGUCCAGACCUGAGCCUCAAGCAGCUCGUGGCCUAUGCCCUCAUCAACCUGCCAGACUCGGACAUCAUCCUGCAAGUGUGCAGACUCCCAACCUGACUCAGAGAAGAGUCCUCUAAGUGGGAUCCCAUCCCAGAGGACCACAACUGUUUCCACAGCAGCAACCAUCAAGAAGAAGCAAGAGCAGGGGUGGGGUGGGAUUACAGCGGGACAGAGACUGCCCAGCCUGACCCUGAGUCCGUCCCUCUCCCUCCUCUCGUGUAGCUGGUCAUCAGGUUGCAGAACAAUCCAGACCACCUCACCAUGCAGGACUCCAGUGGCACAGCUCUCCCUCCCUCACCUGGAAAUAUCGCCUUUUGUU